GGUCAUCAAACCUUUCAGGGUGUAGUAAUAAUUUAUUUUUUUUUUUUUUGUGAGUAANCUGCCCUUAACUCUGGGAUAAGCCUGNGAAACUGGGUCUAAUACCGGAUAGGAGCGUCCACCGCAUGGUGGGUGUUGGAAAGAUUUAUCGGUUUUGGAUGGACUCGCGGCCUAUCAGCUUGUUGGUGAGGUAAUGGCUCACCAAGGCGACGACGGGUAGCCGGCCAUGAGAGGGUGACCGGCCACGCUGGGACUGAGACACGGCCCAUACUCCUACGGGAGGCAGCAGUGGGAGAAUAUUGCACAAUGGGCGCAAGCCUGAUGCAGCGACGCCGCGUGAGGGAUGACGGCCUUCGGGUUGUAAACCUCUUUCAGUAGGGAAGAAGCGAAAGUGACGGUACCUGCAGAAGAAGCACCGGCUAACUACGUGCCAGCAGCCGCGGUAAUACGUAGGGUGCGAGCGUUAUCCGGAAUUAUUGGGCGUAAAGAGCUCGUAGGCGGUUUGUCGCGUCUGUCGUGAAAGUCCGGGGCUUAACCCCGGAUCUGCGGUGGGUACGGGCAGACUAUAGUGCAGUAGGGGAGACUGGAAUUCCUGGUGUAGCGGUGGAAUGCGCAUAUAUCA
rnacentral:rRNA from 1 species